rnacentral:rRNA from 1 species
GUGACUGCGUACCUUUUGUAUAAUGGGUCAGCGACUUAUAUUCUGUAGCAAGGUUAACCGAAUAGGGGAGCCGGAGGGAAACCGAGUCUUAAUUGGGCGUUAAGUUGCAGGGUAUAGACCCGAAACCCGGUGAUCUAGCCAUGGGCAGGUUGAAGGUUGGGUAACACUAACUGGAGGACCGAACCGACUAAUGUUGAAAAAUUAGCGGAUGACCUGUGGCUGGGGGUGAAAGGCCAAUCAAACCGGGAGAUAGCUGGUUCUCCCCGAAAGCUAUUUAGGUAGCGCCUCGUGAAUUCAUCUCCGGGGGUAGAGCACUGUUUCGGCUAGGGGGCCAUCCCGGCUUACCAACCCGAUGCAAACUGCGAAUACCGGAGAAUGUUAUCACGGGAGACACACGGCGGGUGCUAACGUCCGUCGUGAAGAGGGAAACAACCCAGACCGCCAGCUAAGGUCCCAAAGUCAUGGUUAAGUGGGAAACGAUGUGGGAAGGCCCAGACAGCCAGGAUGUUGGCUUAGAAGCAGCCAUCAUUUAAAGAAAGCGUAAUAGCUCACUGGUCGAGUCGGCCUGCGCGGAAGAUGUAACGGGGCUAAACCAUGCACCGAAGCUGCGGCAGCGACGCUUAUGCGUUGUUGGGUAGGGGAGCGUUCUGUAAGCCUGUGAAGGUGGCCUGUGAGGGUUGCUGGAGGUAUCAGAAGUGCGAAUGCUGACAUAAGUAACGAUAAAGCGGGUGAAAAGCCCGCUCGCCGGAAGACCAAGGGUUCCUGUCCAACGUUAAUCGGGGCAGGGUGAGUCGACCCCUAAGGCGAGGCCGAAAGGCGUAGUCGAUGGGAAACGGGUUAAUAUUCCCGUACUUGGUGUUACUGCGAAGGGGGGACGGAGAAGGCUAUGUUGGCCGGGCGACGGUUGUCCCGGUUUAAGCGUGUAGGUGUGUGUUCCAGGUAAAUCCGGUUCACUUUAACACUGAGGCGUGAUGACGAGGCACUACGGUGCUGAAGUAACAAAUGCCCUGCUUCCAGGAAAAGCCUCUAAGCAUCAGGUAACAUCAAAUCGUACCCCAAACCGACACAGGUGGUCAGGUAGAGAAUACCAAGGCGCUUGAGAGAACUCGGGUGAAGGAACUAGGCAAAAUGGUGCCGUAACUUCGGGAGAAGGCACGCUGACACGUAGGUGAAGUGAUUUACUCAUGGAGCUGAAGUCAGUCGAAGAUACCAGCUGGCUGCAACUGUUUAUUAAAAACACAGCACUGUGCAAACACGAAAGUGGACGUAUACGGUGUGACGCCUGCCCGGUGCCGGAAGGUUAAUUGAUGGGGUCAGCGCAAGCGAAGCUCCUGAUCGAAGCCCCGGUAAACGGCGGCCGUAACUAUAACGGUCCUAAGGUAGCGAAAUUCCUUGUCGGGUAAGUUCCGACCUGCACGAAUGGCGUAAUGAUGGCCAGGCUGUCUCCACCCGAGACUCAGUGAAAUUGAACUCGCUGUGAAGAUGCAGUGUACCCGCGGCAAGACGGAAAGACCCCGUGAACCUUUACUAUAGCUUGACACUGAACAUUGAGCCUUGAUGUGUAGGAUAGGUGGGAGGCUUUGAAGCGUGGACGCCAGUCUGCGUGGAGCCGACCUUGAAAUACCACCCUUUAAUGUUUGAUGUUCUAACGUGGACCCGUGAUCCGGGUUGCGGACAGUGUCUGGUGGGUAGUUUGACUGGGGCGGUCUCCUCCUAAAGAGUAACGGAGGAGCACGAAGGUUGGCUAAUCCUGGUCGGACAUCAGGAGGUUAGUGCAAUGGCAUAAGCCAGCUUGACUGCGAGCGUGACGGCGCGAGCAGGUGCGAAAGCAGGUCAUAGUGAUCCGGUGGUUCUGAAUGGAAGGGCCAUCGCUCAACGGAUAAAAGGUACUCCGGGGAUAACAGGCUGAUACCGCCCAAGAGUUCAUAUCGACGGCGGUGUUUGGCACCUCGAUGUCGGCUCAUCACAUCCUGGGGCUGAAGUAGGUCCCAAGGGUAUGGCUGUUCGCCAUUUAAAGUGGUACGCGAGCUGGGUUUAGAACGUCGUGAGACAGUUCGGUCCCUAUCUGCCGUGGGCGCUGGAGAACUGAGGGGGGCUGCUCCUAGUACGAGAGGACCGGAGUGGACGCAUCACUGGUGUUCGGGUUGUCAUGCCAAUGGCACUGCCCGGUAGCUAAAUGCGGAAGAGAUAAGUGCUGAAAGCAUCUAAGCACGAAACUUGCCCCGAGAUGAGUUCUCCCUGAGACUU